rnacentral:rRNA from 1 species
GACGAACGCUGGCGGCGUGCCUAAUGCAUGCAAGUCGCACGCAGAGUGCUUGCACUCUGAGUGGCGCACGGCUGAGGACCACGUGGGAACAUGCCCUCCAGUGGGGGACAACACCGCGAAAGCGGUGCUAAUCCCGCAUACGCUUCGCAAGAAGGAAAGCGGUAACGCGCUGGGGGAGUGGCCCGCGGCCCAUCAGGUCG